CUUAUGGUGGUGAGUGCUGUGAUAUCAUAAUGAAUUUCUCUAGUGCUUGGGUGUUUGUGACAUAGGCUACUUUUAGUUACUUUGUGCAUACUUCUUGUGUUGGCUAGGAAUCCUAUACUUCUACUUUUGAGGAUUCAAAGCUAAAAUUGUGGUAUACUAUGCUAUUGUGGUUUAAAAUUUGAAUAGAUGUGAUUGUUGUGUGUAAUUAUUUGAAAAUUAAGAAACCAUUUUCAGCACCUUAUUGAAUGGGAAGGGGUCAAGUAUCUGUGCUUUCUGUGACCUACUAAAGAGUUGGGCUGUUGUAGGGAGGAGUUUUCUUUUUUUGCUUCAUAAUAUAGCCAUGUAAAUAUAUGUGUAACCGCAAAAUCCUUUUCUUGGCUAACCAGCCAUUUUACUUCCAGACCUCCCGUAACAUAGACCUUUGGCGGCAACACUCCUAUAGGUAAAGGUAAAGCCUAGGCAGAGGAGAAACUUUUUCAAUAUCCCAGCCAUUUGAAGGGUCAUAUGGAGGCAAAGGACCGAAACACUCUCACAUAGACGCAGUUGAUAGGAAAAAUGUGAAAUGAAGUGGAUAUGAAAUUUGUGUUUUCUGAUGAUGACUUGUGAAUAAGCUUCUCCUUUGGCAUCAACAAUGAAAUCUGUGCUGGGUUACUGUCAUUUCUUCGUAGGUUUAGACCAAGCUUGAACUGUAUAUUGGUUUCUUUGUCAAUUUUCUGGUCAUGCAUCAAAUGAAAACUACAGAUGUGUUAUUUGGCCACUUUUUUGUGCAGCUUCUAUAUUAUUCACAUUCUACUGAAGUUCUAGUUUUCAAGAUGAAUAUUUUGUAUAAAUAACACAGGUUGAGUCAUCAAUUUUAAAGAGCUAUUGCAUAUCAGCACCAGAUGUUUGGCCUCAGACCUUUCCAACUUUUAUUUCAUGUUGAAUUUUAGUCCUUUGGCCUAAGGACUUACUCUUGAUUGUUUGGUGCAGUGAUUCAUGAGCCAGAGGGGCCAACACCAUAUUCACAAUAUGAACAUUCUUCUAUCCCCGCCACUGUAAAGAAGCUUUUCAAUCUGGAAUCAAACUUCCUAACCAAGAGGGAUGCAUGGGCUGGUACUUUUGAGAAGUACUUUCGCCUUCGUGACACUCCACGUGAUGAUUGUCCAGUAACCCUUCCCGAAGUUAAGAGAUCACUGAGGCCACGGGGACCGAAAGAAGAUUUGAGGCUCUCGGAAUUUCAAGUUGAACUGAUCCAGCUUGCAUCCCAACUCAAUGGUGACUAUGUACUUUACACCUACCCAGAAAUAGGCAAAAGCAUGACAGUGGGUGAAGCCAACUGGUACGCUGAGGAUGCAGUCAAGAGGUUCUUGGAAGCAGGAAAGGCUGCCCUCAAAGCUGGAGCUAAUGAGUCUGCAAUUGUUACAAUGAGACCUUCCCUCACCAGCCGAAGUAUGCUGAGAGAUGGUGGCCGGGCCUCUACAUAGAGAGCCACUGAUUGAUUCGUCUUCAGAGCUGCCGCUUGUAAACAAAAACUUGCACUUAGAUUCUCCUGCCUGUAUAUAAAUAUAUAUAUAUAUGUAUAUCUAUAGCUCCAUGACGCUGUCAGGGACCCAUUGCGCUGCAAGCUUUCCCAUAUAAAUACUGUCCCAACAUCAUUGAGUAUAUGGAAAUCAAUUUGAAUAUUGAACAUUA